rnacentral:rRNA from 3 species
GGUCUUGGUCUCAAACCUC